AGCGCGGUCCCCCGGUACGGAGAGAGACAGACAGACAGACAGACACACGCACGGUUAGCUGGGCGGCAGGGCACAGACACCGCACAAACCCCCCCAAUCCCCCUGUAACCCCCAUACCCCCACCACCACCCGCAGCGCAGGGGCUGAGCCGCCUCAGCUCAGCACAGCACCGCCGCUCUCCUCCCCCUCUCCUCCUGCACAGGGAGGGGGCGAGCACCGGCCUUGGCUGUGACACUCCCAAACCCCCCCACACCCCUGUUACCCCCUCAGGACCCCCUCACGCCCCCCCAAUUCCCACCCCACCACCACCACCACCACCACCAACCUCCCCCGGCGCCUCCGGCGAGGGGAGGCGAUGCCCGCCUCAGCCCGGCCGAGCCCCUUCCCUUUCCCCUUCCCCUCAUGGAAGCCGGCAACCGGCAGAACCGCCCCUCCGGCCCUGCCGGCGGCCAGGGGAGGAAGAGGAGGAGGAGGAGGAGGAGGAGGAGGACGAGGAAGGCGCGGAUACGUACGGGACCGGCGGCAGCGGCAGGCAGAGCCGGGCAGGGCCAUCCCCGUCAGUGGCAGCCAUGGAGCUGAAUCAUUUUGGGGAGCCGAGAGACGGCAGCAGCGUGUCUGCAGGUCGAGGCAUUAAACCACAAGAUAAUAAUCUUUGGCUGUUGAAAGGAGAGGGGAGAUAUGUUGAAGCAAGAAGAUAUUUCAGACCCAGAUUCAGUUCCCUCCACCCCCUGCCAGUGAAGUACCCGAAGUGUUGCUGUAAAAUUUCUGGUGGGGAACACGAACCUUCACCUGCAACUUCUACGUCCUCUGGAGCUGCUCGUUUUUAUCCAUUGACUGCUGGGAGAGCCCAGGGUUAUUAUUAGGUGUUUAAUGUAUGUGUCUCAGAAGGGACUAGGUUAAGAUGGGAGGUAUGUGAGCCAAUGGCAUGAGAAAAAUAAUAUUUUAUUUGAACAUCAGGACGAACAGUUUUGAAUGUACAUGGAACACUAACAGUGAAAUACAGCCUGUGAGAAUGUGACAGAAAAUCGAUCACAGGGACACUCAAAAUCAGACAAUAAAAUACUUUAAUAAGUGCCUGUAGAGAGUAAUCCUGCUGACCAAGAGAGGUCUCAUAUCAUCUGUAAGAUUAUUCGUACCAUUAAAAUAUACAAUACUAUUAUCUGGGAAAGAAAAAUAAUCUAUCAUUUAAGGCUCUUACCUGAUACUGGGAUUACAGUGACAGGUGAGUAUCCAGUGCAGGAAAUAAUGCAUAAUAUAAUUUCCCUGCAUAAUAAUACUGGGGAAUAAAAUCACAUUCUUUGUACACACACACACACACACAUGUACACAUAUAUAAAUAUAUAUAUUUAUACAUUAUAUAUAUGAAAAUGUGUUUUUAUAUUGCAUAUAUUGAUAUAUCUACUUUUUAUUUCCUCACUGCUAUUUUUAUUUCCUAACUUGGUGGUGCUUUCAGCACCUGCUAAUGGUUGCUUCUGCAGCUUCCCUGCCAUCAGAUACCUUAAGCUGAGGCUUCAGACUCUCCUGGACGUCUGAGAGCUCUUUUGUGUGUUUUUUGUCUUCAUUCACCCAAAACUGGCCAGCUCACUACCCUCCACAUA
rnacentral:lncRNA from 1 species